UACGUAGGGUGCAAGCGUUUAAUCGGAAUUACUGGGCGUAAAGCGCGCGUUAGGCGGAUCUGCAAGUCGGGGGGUGAAAUCCCGAGGCUCAACCUCGGAACUGCCUUCGAUACUGCGGGUCUGAGUCCGGGGAGAGGUGAGUGGAAUUCCUAGUGUAGAGGUGAAAUUUCGUAGAUAUUAGGAAGAACACCAGUGGCGAAGGCGGCUCACUGGCCCGAUACUGACGCUGAGGCACGAAAGCGUGGGGGAGCAAACAGG
rnacentral:rRNA from 1 species